UACGUAGGGGGCUAGCGUUGUCCGGAAUCAUUGGGCGUAAAGCGCGUGUAGGCGGUCCGGUAAGUCCGCUGUGAAAGUCGGGGGCUCAACCCUCGGAUGCCGGUGGAUACUGUCGGGCUUGAGUACGGAAGAGGCGAGUGGAAUUCCUGGUGUAGCGGUGAAAUGCGCGGAUAUCAGGAGGAACACCGAUGGCGAAGGCAGGUCUCUGGGCCACUACUGACGCUGAGAAGCGAAAGCGUGGGGAGCGAACAGG
rnacentral:rRNA from 1 species